UCCCCGUUCACCGGGGCAGUCCCCUCAGAGUGCCCGGCAUAACCCGAUGGCAACAGAGGGCGAGGGUUGCGCUCGUUGCGGGACUUAACCCAACAUCUCACGACACGAGCUGACGACAGCCAUGCAGCACCUGUGCACAGGCCCCGAAGGGAGGACGACUUUCGUCGCCUAUCCUGCACAUGUCAAACCCAGGUAAGGUUCUUCGCGUUGCGUCGAAUUAAACCACAUGCUCCACCGCUUGUGCGGGCCCCCGUCAAUUCCUUUGAGUUUCAACCUUGCGGUCGUACUCCCCAGGUGGCUUACUUAACGGUUUCCCUUGGACGCACAAUGUCUAGCAUCAUACGUCGAGUAAGCAUCGUUUAGGGCGUGGACUAC
rnacentral:misc_RNA from 1 species